rnacentral:rRNA from 1 species
AACGAACGCUGGCGGCAUGCCUAACACAUGCAAGUCGAACGAGACCUUCGGGUCUAGGGGCGCACGGGUGCGUAACGCGUGGGAACCUGCCCUUAGGUUCGGAAUAACUCCCCGAAAGGGGUGCUAAUACCGGAUAAUGUCUUCGGACCAAAGAUUUAUCGCCUUUGGAUGGGCCCGCGUUGGAUUAGCUAGUUGGUAGGGUAAAAGCCUACCAAGGCGACGAUCCAUAGCUGGUCUGAGAGGAUGAUCAGGCACACUGGGACUGAGACACGGCCUAGAAUCCUACGGGAGGCAGCAGUGGGGAAUAUUGGACAAGGGGCGAAAGCCUGAUCCAGCAAUGCCGCGUGAGUGAUGAAGGCCUUAGGGUUGUAAAGCUCUUUUACCCGGGAUGAUAAUGACAGUACCGGGAGAAUAAGCACCGGCUAACUCCGUG